ensembl:lncRNA
CUUCCCCCUUAAUUAAUGCAACAAAAUAUUCCAUGACUCCAGGAUACAUUGUAACUGGAUCUUCAGGGGUCCUUUCCCCUCUCAGAGAAAGGGGACGAUAGCAUCUCCUUCCUUUAGGUGGGGAAUUGAGGUCUAGUGACUUCCUUAGAAACACAGCAAAAGGAGUAGUAAAAAGUGUUUUCAUGUUCUCUCCUCCCUCACAUCGGUCCCCAACUCUGGGUUGAGAUCAAAAGCAGGCUUUUCUUUGGCUAAUGAUGCUUAGAAUUACCCACUAGACAAGCGGUCUUCAUAAGGGAGCCAAAUGAGACAGGAAUAAGAACAGGCAAUACAUUUCAGAUUGUUAGAUUGAAGGGGAUAUCAGAUACAUCCGAUCUAACCUCCAUAUUUUACAGGAAAGGACACAAGUGCAGCGAGGAACGGCAACGUGGCUAGGGCCACCUAGCUAGUUGGUAGCACAAAAGGUAUAAGAACCCCAGCCUGACUCUUCGUUCAGCGCUCUUGCCACUGUGUUGUGCUGACCUGCUGUGAUCCUGAACAACCUCUCCCCGAAGGCAGAAGCCAUCAGGUUGGUGACCAGACGCAUGCCUGGCUUCAUUCUCUAGCCAGACACCUUGUGAUUUUCUGAAAACCCAGCAGCAUGUUUCCCUUUGUUGACAUGUAAGCACAUGGUAGAGAACACAGACCACCAAACCACAGACAGGAAUCUUCCUAUGUUCCCAGCUGGACAAGGGCAGCUAGCUGUCCUCGGCUAGCAUAAGCGCUCAUGUACUUUUCAUUCAUUCAGCCUCAAAAAUGUGUCUGCAGCCUGUAAGCCUGCAUUUGUUCCACCUCUGUGCAGCUGCUGUGUCCACUAUCAAGCUGGGCAGGACCUUAGAGUUCCUUUUGGUGUAACUUCCUCACUUUGUAGACUGAAUCCCAGCCAGGAGAUGUGCUAUCUCUGGGUCAAACUCAAGUUAGAGACAGAGUCAAGCUGGAAACCAGGUUGCCUAGCGACCAGCUCCAUUCUCCUUCUAGAGUGUGGAAGAUUACCACACAGAGUGACCCUGCCUCUUCCUAAAAGGUCAGGAAUGAGAAUAAAAAACUCAUGGUGUCUGCUGGCAGAAACAGAGCACCAUCUUCUGAAGCCCUUUAAAGAUACAGUCUAACUCAUGCCUCUGAAGUGAGCAGAGAUGGAUAAAGAUAAAGAUGCCACCUCAUAGACACAAAGGAACUUCCCAAAGUUCCAGAAAUGUUUGAGAAGAGAACCUACCGAUCCUCUCAGCCAUGUAAUCCUUCUUGGAACACUCCCUCAUCUUCACCCACGUAGACUCGCACAGCUGCCCUCCAGAUGUGGUGGGAGAUGCCUUUAUGUAACAUGAAUCUAUAUGAUGAAUUCUUGCUCAUAUUGAAGACAUGAAAUUCCUAUGAGUAAGAUGUGUACUUUGAGUUCAUUAUCCCUAAAAGCAAGUCAUGGAUAUGCUUAAGUUAUCUGAGUGCUUUCUCUGGAGACCAGUGGAAUGCUUCGGUGAGAUUUGUGGCUGGGGUUGGAGCUGACAUGUCAAGUAGAAGCUAAACUGGUUUCACUAGGACUAAUUUCUUUUUCUUUCUUUUUUUCUUUUUUCUUUUUUUGAGACAGAGUCUCUCUCUGUCACCCAGGCUGGAGUGCAGUGGCACGAUUUUGGCACACUGCAACCUCCGCCUCCUGGCAACCUCAGCCUCCAAAGUAG